rnacentral:rRNA from 1 species
UACAGAGGUCUCGAGCGUUGUUCGGAUUCAUUGGGCGUAAAGGGCGCGUAGGCUGCGGGGCAAGUCGGGUGUGAAAUCUCAGAGCUCAACUCUGAAACUGCAUUCGAUACUGCCGUGCUUGAGGACUGGAGAGGAGACUGGAAUUUACGGUGUAGCGGUGAAAUGCGUAGAUAUCGUAAGGAAGACCAGUGGCGAAGGCGGGUCUCUGGACAGUUCCUGACGCUGAGGCACGAAGGCCAGGGGAGCAAACGGG